GACGAACGCUGGCGGCGUGCCUAAUACAUGCAAGUCGAACGAACUCUGGUAUUGAUUGGUGCUUGCAUCAUGAUUUACAUUUGAGUGAGUGGCGAACUGGUGAGUAACACGUGGGAAACCUGCCCAGAAGCGGGGGAUAACACCUGGAAACAGAUGCUAAUACCGCAUAACAACUUGGACCGCAUGGUCCGAGUUUGAAAGAUGGCUUCGGCUAUCACUUUUGGAUGGUCCCGCGGCGUAUUAGCUAGAUGGUGAGGUAACGGCUCACCAUGGCAAUGAUACGUAGCCGACCUGAGAGGGUAAUCGGCCACAUUGGGACUGAGACACGGCCCAAACUCCUACGGGAGGCAGCAGUAGGGAAUCUUCCACAAUGGACGAAAGUCUGAUGGAGCAACGCCGCGUGAGUGAAGAAGGGUUUCGGCUCGUAAAACUCUGUUGUUAAAGAAGAACAUAUCUGAGAGUAACUGUUCAGGUAUUGACGGUAUUUAACCAGAAAGCCACGGCUAACUACGUGCCAGCAGCCGCGGUAAUACGUAGGUGGCAAGCGUUGUCCGGAUUUAUUGGGCGUAAAGCGAGCGCAGGCGGUUUUUUAAGUCUGAUGUGAAAGCCUUCGGCUCAACCGAAGAAGUGCAUCGGAAACUGGGAAACUUGAGUGCAGAAGAGGACAGUGGAACUCCAUGUGUAGCGGUGAAAUGCGUAGAUAUAUGGAAGAACACCAGUGGCGAAGGCGGCUGUCUGGUCUGUAACUGACGCUGAGGCUCGAAAGUAUGGGUAGCAAACAGGAUUAGAUACCCUGGUAGUCCAUACCGUAAACGAUGAAUGCUAAGUGUUGGAGGGUUUCCGCCCUUCAGUGCUGCAGCUAACGCAUUAAGCAUUCCGCCUGGGGAGUACGGCCGCAAGGCUGAAACUCAAAGGAAUUGACGGGGGCCCGCACAAGCGGUGGAGCAUGUGGUUUAAUUCGAAGCUACGCGAAGAACCUUACCAGGUCUUGACAUACUAUGCAAUCUAAGAGAUUAGACGUUCCCUUUGGGGACAUGGAUACAGGUGGUGCAUGGUUGUCGUCAGCUCGUGUCGUGAGAUGUUGGGUUAAGUCCCGCAACGAGCGCAACCCUUAUUAUCAGUUGCCAGCAUUAAGUUGGGCACUCUGGUGAGACUGCCGGUGACAAACCGGAGGAAGGUGGGGAUGACGUCAAAUCAUCAUGCCCCUUAUGACCUGGGCUACACACGUGCUACAAUGGAUGGUACAACGAGUUGCGAACUCGCGAGAGUAAGCUAAUCUCUUAAAGCCAUUCUCAGUUCGGAUUGUAGGCUGCAACUCGCCUACAUGAAGUCGGAAUCGCUAGUAAUCGCGGAUCAGCAUGCCGCGGUGAAUACGUUCCCGGGCCUUGUACACACCGCCCGUCACACCAUGAGAGUUUGUAACACCCAAAGUCGGUGGGGUAACCUUUUAGGAACCAGCCGCCUAAGGUGGGACAGAUGAUUAGGGUG
rnacentral:rRNA from 1 species